rnacentral:rRNA from 1 species
GACAGAGGGUGCAAACGUUGUUCGGAAUUACUGGGCGUAAAGCGCGUGUAGGCGGCCCUGCAAGUCGGAUGUGAAAUCCCACGGCUCAACCGUGGAAGUGCAUUCGAAACUGCAGGGCUAGAGUCCUGGAGAGGAAGGUGGAAUUCCUGGUGUAGCGGUGAAAUGCGUAGAUAUCAGGAGGAACACCUGUGGCGAAAGCGGCUCACUGGACCAUAACUGACGCUGAUGCACGAAAGCUAGGGGAGCAAACAGG